rnacentral:rRNA from 1 species
CAGGCCUAACACAUGCAAGUCGAGCGGUAACAGGGGGUGCUUGCACCCCGCUGACGAGCGGCGGACGGGUGAGUAAUGCAUAGGAAACUGCCCAGUAGUGGGGGAUAGCCCGGGGAAACCCGGAUUAAUACCGCGUACGCCCUUCGGGGGAAAGCAGGGGAUCUUCGGACCUUGCGCUAUUGGAUGUGCCUAUGUCGGAUUAGCUAGUUGGUGGGGUAAAGGCCUACCAAGGCGACGAUCCGUAGCUGGUCUGAGAGGAUGAUCA